UACGGAGGGUGCGAGCGUUGUCCGGAAUCAUUGGGCGUAAAGGGCGCGUAGGUGGCCCGGUCAGUCGAUGGUGAAAGCGCGGGGCUCAACUCCGCGUCGGCCGUCGAUACUGCUGGGCUUGAGCACUGUAGAGGCAGGCGGAAUUCCGGGUGUAGCGGUGGAAUGCGUAGAGAUCCGGAAGAACACCGGUGGCGAAGGCGAGUCCCUGGACAACACCUGACACUGAGGCACGAAAGCUAGGGGAGCAAACAGG
rnacentral:rRNA from 1 species